UUUUAAAAUGAUCUAAUCCAUGAACCCAAACCAAACUAGGAAAAAGCCCUCUUAGGGAUGCAAAACCUGGAACCCAUUAAGGCCUAAAAUGAAAGAGGUUAGGUUUGGAGUGAGAGUUUGAUCGCAAUCGCAUCGCGCUUCUCUCUUCUUCUUUCUUUGAAAAAUUGUUCUCUGCCUGAGUUCAUGAUGGCCUCUUUCGAUACUCUCACUUUCAUGCAACUUGCAAUACAGCAGGCAAAGCUAGCUUUUGAUGCCCUUGAAGUGCCCGUUGGAUGUGUAAUUGUUGAGGAUGGGAAGGUUAUUGCAUCAGGCAGGAAUCGAACUACUGAGACACGAAAUGCUACAAGGCAUGCCGAAAUGGAAGCUAUAGAUGUGCUUCUAGAGCAGUGGCAGAAAAAUGGGCUCUCAAUCUCUGAAGUUGCUGAAAAAUUCUCAAACUGCAGCCUUUAUGUUACCUGUGAACCAUGCAUAAUGUGUGCAUCUGCUUUAUCAAUUUUAGGUAUAAAGGAAGUAUUUUAUGGCUGUUCAAAUGAUAAAUUCGGAGGCUGUGGGUCAAUACUGCCAUUGCAUUUAAGUAACACUAUGCCACACAAUAAUGAAGUUCCACCUAGAAAGGGUUUCAAAUGUGCUGGAGGUAUAAUGGCAUCAGAAGCUGUCCAUCUCCUGCGAAUAUUCUAUGAGCAAGGAAAUCCCAACGGUAACUGUUUUGCUAGCACACAAAAUCUUCAAAAAGCUUUCAGAUAUUGCUGACAAGUUAUAGGGAAGCACCAAAGCCCCACAGGCCAAUAGCACGUCAGGCAUGAAGUUUAAUUUGUAUAUCACUAGUUGCUGAUAUGGUUACACACUAUGUAUGACCUGGAAUUCUGUGCAACCUUGAGCAUUGUCCGUGGGUACAAGCUGAUUUUGAAUGUCCAAUACAAGGCUUUUGAACUUGAAUAUCAAUUUCAUGUACGAUUUAAAAACAAUGAUGAAUCAUAUGUUGUCGUUUGAAACGAAUCUUACUGGAUUGAGUUCAAGAUAAUUGCCAAAGGGAAUUGAAGCCUUUCGAGUUUGUUAAGUAUUUUUGUGCUUCUGACGAGCAAUGAGUUUCCAUUGUAUUGUAUACGUAAUAUGUAAUUCCUAGUUAUGGUCUAAUCGGUAAAGUAGUUCAAAAUUGUGUCUGGCACGAUGCUUUACGGUAGGAAGGUAUCCAUUACCAAUUUGCCUGCUUCCCCUUCGGGAAUAGCACGUUGGAAUGAUACGUUAGCCAUAGAGUACCUUAUUCUUGCUAUAAUUUCUUAACCUCAUUAAAUUUAAGAGUUU